AGAGUUUGAUCCUGGCUCAGGAUGAACGCUGGCGGCGUGCCUAAUACAUGCAAGUCGAACGGACAAGUAGCAAUAUUUGUGAGUGGCGAACGGGUGAGUAACGCGUGGGCGACCAGCCCCGAAGAGUGGGAUACCAGCUCGAAAGGGCCGCUAAUACCGCAUGUGGCUUUGGGUUUUAGAACCCCAAUUCUAAAGCAGCAAUGCGCUUCGGGAGGGGCCUGCGUCCCAUCAGCUAGUUGGUAAGGUAACGGCCUACCAAGGCGACGACGGGUAGGGGGCCUGAGAGGGUGACCCCCCACACUGGCACUGAAACACGGGCCAGACACCUACGGGUGGCAGCAGUAGGGAAUAUUGCACAAUGGGCGCAAGCCUGAUGCAGCAACGCCGCGUGCGCGAUGAAGGCCUUCGGGUCGUAAAGCGCUUUUCUGGGAGACGAGGAAGGACGGUAUCCCAGGAAGAAGGCUCGACUAACUACGUGCCAGCAGCCGCGAUAAAACGUAGGAGCCUAGCGUUAUCCGAAUUUACUGGGCGUAAAGCGCGUGCAGGCGGCUUGGUAAGUUGGCUGUGAAAUCUCCCGGCUCAACUGGGAGGGGACGGUCAAGACUGCCAGGCUCGAGGGCGGUAGAGGGAGGUGGAAUUCCCGGUGUAGUGGUGAAAUGCGUAGAGAUCGGGAGGAACACCUGUGGCGAAAGCGGCCUCCUGGGCCGUACCUGACGCUCAGACGCGAAAGCUAGGGGAGCGAACGGGAUUAGAAACCCCGGUAGUCCUAGCUGUAAACGAUGUAGACUAGGCGGCGGUGG
rnacentral:rRNA from 1 species